CCCCGCAGCCCCCCCCUCCCGACACCACCGUGCCGCGACAGCGCCCCCGUGUGUCGGGAGGCCGCUCAGCGGGCCGCGGGCUGCCUAGGAGACUUCACAGUGGACAGGAGCGCGCCCGCCCGCCCUGGUGCACACAUCAGAGCGUUGGCUUCGAAUCAGAGACAGCAAAUCCAUGUUCAAGUGGUGCUUUGAACAGUACUUAGCCCUCCGACCUCUCUGGCCCUGGGUUCCUUCAUGUGCAAAAUGGGAAUAAUGAUAUGAUCUACUUCAAAACGUUAGUAGCAUUAAAUAAACAUAACUCCGGGCAUG